UACGAAGGUGGCAAGCGUUGUUCGGAUUUACUGGCGUACAGGGAGCGUAGGCGGUUGGGUAAGCCCUUCCGUGAAAUCUCCGGGCCUAACCCGGAAAGUGCGGAGGGGACUGCUCGGCUAGAGGAUGGGAGAGGAGCGCGGAAUUCCCGGUGUAGCGGUGAAAUGCGUAGAGAUCGGGAGGAAGGCCGGUGGCGAAGGCGGCGCUCUGGACUUCUGCCGA
rnacentral:rRNA from 1 species